CCUACGGGUGGCAGCAGUGAGGAAUAUUGGUCAAUGGACGGAAGUCUGAACCAGCCAUGCCGCGUGAAGGAAGACGGCCCUAUGAGUUGUAAACUGCUUUUGUAAAAGGGUAAACCGGAAUACGUGUAGGCAGCUGAAAGUACUGUACGAAUAAGGAUCGGCUAACUCCGUGCCAGCAGCCGCGGUAAUACGGAGGAACCAAGCGUUAUCCGGAUUUAUUGGGUUUAAAGGGGGGGUAGGGGGAUUGUGAAGUUAGAGGUGAAAUGUGCGAGCUUAACUCGGGAACUGCCUCUAAGACUGUUGCUCUAGGGACUAGAUGCGGUAGGCGGAAUGUAUGGUGUGGCGGUGAAAUGCUAGAGAUCAUACAGAACACCGAUUGCGAAGGCAGCUUACCAAUCUAUCUCUGACGUUGAGGCUCGAAAGCGUGGGGAGCAAACAGGAUUAGAUACCCCAGUAGUC
rnacentral:rRNA from 1 species